AGUAGAUGUUUGCACCUGUGGUGCUGGCACUUGUUUCUGUCCUUCUCAGUUGGGUUAUUAAUCUAGUAUGUAAUGUGCUCUUUAUUGUUAUAUAAUGCCAACCUAUUCUGUAGCACUUUACAGUAUUACAAAGGGGAAUAUUUCAUAAAUGAAACAAUUACAAAAUGUUACUGGAACAAUAAGUUGAUGAGGACCCUGCUCAAACGAGCUAACAAUCUAGAGGAGGUGCGUUAUAAUAGCACAAAAGGAAGGGCAGAUUGGGGGAUACCAAUAAAGUGACAGGGUGGGAAA